CAAGGAAGGCAGCAGGCGCGCAAAUUACCCACUCCCGGCACGGGGAGGUAGUGACGAAAAAUAACGAUACGGGACUCAUCCGAGGCCCCGUAAUCGGAAUGAGUACACUUUAAAUCCUUUAACGAGGAUCAAUUGGAGGGCAAGUCUGGUGCCAGCAGCCGCGGUAAUUCCAGCUCCAAUAGCGUAUAUUAAAGUUGUUGCGGUUAAAAAGCUCGUAGUCGAAUCUGUGUCGUGCGCCGCCGGUUCAUCGCUCGCGGUGUCAACUGGCGUGUCGCAGGACGUCCUGCCGGUGGACUCAGCCGCCUCGUCAGUCGUCGACGUCCUCCCGACAAGGGUUCGGGCGUCGGCGGCCCGGGGUGGCGGUCCAACUUUAACAAUCCCACCGCGGUGCUCUUCGCUGAGUGUCGAGGUGGGCCGGCACGUUUACUUUGAACAAAUUAGAGUGCUUAAAGCAGGCUAAAAUUUCGCCUGAAUACUGUGUGCAUGGAAUAAUGGAAUAGGACCUCGGUUCUAUUUUGUUAGUUUUCGGAACCCCGAGGUAAUGAUUAAUAGGAACGGAUGGGGGCAUUCGUAUUGCGACGUUAGAGGUGAAAUUCUUGGAUCGUCGCAAGACGGACUUAAGCGAAAGCAUUUGCCAAAAACGCUUUCAUUGAUCAAGAACGAAAGUUAGAGGUUCGAAGGCGAUCAGAUACCGCCCUAGUUCUAACCAUAAACGAUGCCAGCUAGCGAUCCGUCGACGUUCCUCCGAUGACUCGACGGGCAGCUUCCGGGAAACAAAGCUUUUGGGUUCCGGGGGAA
rnacentral:rRNA from 1 species